GAUGAACGCUGGCGGCGUGCUUAACACAUGCAAGUCGAACGGAAAGGCUCCUGCUUGCAGGGGUACUCGAGUGGCGAAAGGGUGAGUAACACGUGGGUGAUCUGCCCUGCACUUCGGGAUAAGCCUGGGAAACUGGGUCUAAUACCGGAUAGGAAGAUGGUUUGGAUGCCAUUGUGGAAAGUUUUUCGGUGUGGGAUGAGCUCGCGGCCUAUCAGCUUGUUGGUGGGGUAAUGGCCUACCAAGGCGUCGACGGGUAGCCGGCCUGAGAGGGUGUACGGCCACAUUGGGACUGAGAUACGGCCCGGACUCCUACGGGAGGCAGCAGUGGGGAAUAUUGCACAAUGGGCGCAAGCCUGAUGCAGCGACGCCGCGUGGGGGAUGACGGCCUUCGGGUUGUAACCUCCUUUCGCUAGGGACGAAGCGCAAGUGACGGUACCUGGAGAAGAAGCACCGGCUAACUACGUG
rnacentral:rRNA from 1 species